rnacentral:tRNA from 1 species
GACCGCCUAGCUCAGCCGGUAGAGCAACUGACUUUUAAUCAGUAGGUCCCGGGUUCGAAUCCCGGGGCGGUCACCA